rnacentral:rRNA from 1 species
GACGAACGCUGGCGGCGUGCCUAAUACAUGCAAGUAGAACGCACAGUUUAUACCGUAGCUUGCUACACCAUAGACUGUGAGUUGCGAACGGGUGAGUAACGCGUAGGUAACCUGCCUGGUAGCGGGGGAUAACUAUUGGAAACGAUAGCUAAUACCGCAUAAUAUUAAUUAUUGCAUGAUAAUUAAUUGAAAGGUGCAAUUGCACCACUACCAGAUGGACCUGCGUUGUAUUAGCUAGUAGGUGAGGUAACGGCUCACCUAGGCGACGAUACAUAGCCGACCUGAGAGGGCGAUCGGCCACACUGGGACUGAGACACGGCCCAGACUCCUACGGGAGGCAGCAGUAGGGAAUCUUCGGCAAUGGACGAAAGUCUGACUGAGCAACGCCGCGUGAGUGAAGAAGGUUUUCGGAUCGUAAAGCUCUGUUGUAAGAGAAGAACGGGUGUGAGAGUGGAAAGUUCACACUGUGACGGUAUCUUACCAGAAAGGGACGGCUAACUACGUG